rnacentral:rRNA from 1 species
GAUGAACGCUGGCGGCGUGCCUAAUACAUGCAAGUCGAGCGACCAGACGAUGAGCUUGCUCCUCUGACGUUAGCGGCUGACGGGUGAGUAACACGUGCAUAACCUACCUAUAUUUCUGGGAUAACUUCGUGAAACCGGUUCUAAUACCGGAUCACAUGUUCUACCGCAUGGUUCAACAGUUCUUGACGCUCUUCCUGUCUCUUAUAGCUGUUUCCGGGCCGCAUUAGCUAGUUGGUAAGGUAACGGCUUACCAAGGCAACGAUGCGUAGCCGACCUGAGAGGGUGAUCGGCAACACUGGAACUGAGACACGGUCCAGACUCCUACGGGAGGAAGCAGUAGGGAAUAUUCGGCAAUGGGCGAAAGCCUGACGGAGCAACGCCGCGUGAGUGAAGAAGGUCUUCGGAUCGUAAAACUCUGUUAUUAGGGAAGAAAAAAUGUGUAAGUAAAUAUGCACGUCUUGACGGUACCUAAUCAGAAAGCAACGGCUAACUACGUG